rnacentral:tRNA from 1 species
CGGUCUGUAGCUCAAUGGCAAGAGCGCCGGUCGCUGAAACCGGAUGCGUGAGUUCGAAUCUCACCAGGCCAUC